rnacentral:rRNA from 1 species
GAUGAACGCUGACAGAAUGCUUAACACAUGCAAGUCUUUGGCGAAGCUGUGCUUGCACAGCCUAGCCAAGGCGGACGGGUGAGUAACGCGUAAGGAACUUGCCCUGCAGUCAGGGAUAACAGACGGAAACGACUGAUAAGACCUGGUAAAGUCAGGCGGACUCAUGUCCAGCCUGAUGAAAAGAGAUGCUGCAGGAGAGCCUUGCGUCCUAUUAGCUUGUUGGUGGGGUAACGGCCCACCAAGGCUAUGAUAGGUAGCCGGCCUGAGAGGGUGGACGGCCACAAGGGGACUGAGAGACGGCCCUUACGACUACGGGAGGCAGCAGUGGGGAAUAUUGGACAAUGGGGGCAACCCUGAUCCAGCAAUUCUGUGUGCACGAUGAAGGUUUUCGGAUUGUAAAGUGCUUUCAGCAGGGAAGAAAAAAAUGACGGUACCUGCAGAAGAAGCGACGGCUAAAUACGUG